AGGGCGAGGGUCCACCCGUUCCCAUCCCGAACACGGAAGUUAAGCUCGCUUCUGCCCACGAUACUUGGCUGGAGACGGCCCGGAAAAACAGGUAGCGCC
rnacentral:rRNA from 1 species